CAGCCGCCGCGGGAAUACGAAGGGUGCAAGCGUUAAUCGGAAUUACUGGGCGUAAAGGGCGCGUAGGCGGUUGUUUAAGUCUGUUGUGAAAUCCCCGGGCUCAACCUGGGAAUGGCAAUGGAAACUGGACGGCUAGAGUGUGUCAGAGGAUGGUGGAAUUCCCGGUGUAGCGGUGAAAUGCGUAGAGGUCGGGAGGAACAUCAGUGGCGAAGGCGGCCAUCUGGGACAACACUGACGCUGAAGCACGAAAGCGUGGGGAGCAAACAGGAUUAGAUACCCCCGUAGUCCCUGUCUCUUAUAC
rnacentral:rRNA from 1 species